GACGAACGCUGGCGGCGUGCUUAACACAUGCAAGUCGAACGAAGAGCGAUGGAAGCUUGCUUCUAUCAAUCUUAGUGGCGAACGGGUGAGUAACGCGUAAUCAACCUGCCCUUCAGAGGGGGACAACAGUUGGAAACGACUGCUAAUACCGCAUACGAUCUAAUCUCGGCAUCGAGGAUAGAUGAAAGGUGGCCUCUACAUGUAAGCUAUCACUGAAGGAGGGGAUUGCGUCUGAUUAGCGAGUUGGAGGGGUAACGGCCAACCAAGGCGAUGAUCAGUAGCCGGUCUGAGAGGAUGAACGGCCACAUUGGGACUGAGACACGGCCCAGACUCCUACGGGAGGCAGCAGUGGGGAAUCUUCCGCAAUGGACGAAAGUCUGACGGAGCAACGCCGCGUGAGUGAUGACGGCCUUCGGGUUGUAAAGCUCUGUUAAUCGGGACGAAAGGCCUUCUUGCGAAUAGUGAGAAGGAUUGACGGUACCGGAAUAGAAAGCCACGGCUAACUACGUG
rnacentral:rRNA from 1 species